GGAGAUCCCUUCGGGGUGAUCCCUUCGGGUGAACUUGUCGCUGUCGAGUGGCGGACGGGUGAGUAAUGCAUAGGAAUCUGCCCUGUAGUGGGGGAUAACUCGGAGAAAUCCGAGCUAAUACCGCAUACGACCUACGGGUGAAAGCGGGGGACUUUCGAGCCUCGCGCUAUGGGAUGAGCCUAUGUCGGAUUAGCUAGUUGGUAGGGUAACUGCCUACCAAGGCGACGAUCCGUAGCUGGUUUGAGAGGAUGAUCAGCCACACUGGGACUGAGACACGGCCCAGACUCCUACGGGAGGCAGCAGUGGGGAAUAUUGGACAAUGGGCGCAAGCCUGAUCCAGCAAUGCCGCGUGUGUGAAGAAGGCCUGCGGGUUGUAAAGCACUUUUAUCGGGAAAGAAAAUCCCAGGGUUAAUACCCCUGGGCCUUGACGGUACCCGAAGAAUAAGCACCGGCUAACUCCGUG
rnacentral:rRNA from 1 species